rnacentral:rRNA from 1 species
GACGAACGCUGGCGGCGUGCCUAAUACAUGCAAGUUGAGCGCUGAAGGGUGGUGCUUGUUCCUACUGGGUGAGCAGCGAACGGGUGAGUAACGCGUGGGGAAUCUGCCUUUGAGCGGGGGACAACAUUUGGAAACGAAUGCUAAUACCGCAUAAAAACUUUAAACACAAGUUUUAAGAUUGAAAGAUGCAAUUGCAUCACUCAAAGAUGAUCCCGCGUUGGCUUAGCUAGUUGGUGAGGUAAAGGCUCACCAAGGCGAUGAUACAUAGCCGACCUGAGAGGGGGGACGGCCCAAUCGGGACUGGAGACACGCCCAAGACUCUACGGGAAGGCGCAGUAGGGGAACUUCGGGAAAGGAGGAAAGGCUGACCGGGCAACGCCGGGGGGGGGAAGAAGGGUCUCCGAUCCGAAAACUCUGUUGGUAAGGAAGAACGAUGGUGGGAGUGGAAAGCGCAUAAAGUGACGGUAACUACCCAGAAAGGGACGGCUAACUACGUG